rnacentral:rRNA from 1 species
GACGAACGCUGGCGGCGUGCUUAACACAUGCAAGUCGAGCGGUAAGGCCCUUUCGGGGGUACACGAGCGGCGAACGGGUGAGUAACACGUGGGUGACCUGCCCUCAGCUCUGGGAUAAGCCUGGGAAACCGGGUCUAAUACCGGAUAUGACUCCAUGACGCAUGUUGUGGGGUGGAAAGCCUUGUGCGGCUGAGGAUGGGCCCGCGGCCUAUCAGCUUGUUGGUGGGGUGAUGGCCUACCAAGGCGACGACGGUAGCCGGCCUGAGAGGGCGACCGGCCACACUGGGACUGAGACACGGCCCAGACUCCUACGGGAGGCAGCAGUGGGGAAUCUUGCGCAAUGGGCGAAAGCCUGACGCAGCGACGCCGCGUGAGGGAUG